AAUGAAAAUAAAAACUUUUUUUUAGUAAAAAAUGCCUUCCAAGGAAGUUGCACGACAGAAUCGAGUUUGUAUAGUUCCAGUGUGUAAUGCUAAGAAUUCUGACUAUCCGGAGCGGAUAUUUUUUGCUGUGCCCGAAACUAAGAAGAAACAAUGGCUGGAACUAGUCGGAGGGGACAUCAGCUGUAUUAAACCAAAGAAACGUCUCUUUUGUUGUGAAAAUCACUUUGACGUACGAAAGGAUGUCGAGGGCUACGAUUUCUACAAAUAUUUUGGUGGUAGAAUUAAGCUGAUGGAUAAUGCAGUUCCAUCGAAACAGUUAGGUGAUUACAGUGAGUUCGAGAAAGUAGAAGAAGUUUUGCCGAAAGAAGAACCUUGCUUCGAACAAUGUGAUGAGUCUGUAGACCCGUUGUCGAUCUCUGACGAUAGAGAUGCUGUGAGUGAAACGCAAACUCCAGAGUGCGAGACAGAUAAAGUUGAAAUCAAAAUUGAACCAGACUGGCCUCCUGAUGAAUUGAAUGUUUCAUGCCCAGGACGUAGUGAGGAAAUCGUUGUCAAAUCUGAUGUGUACUUGUCCGACGACGACGAUGACAACAGUGAUAUUGGAGAAAUAAAGACCGAUGACGAUUCAAGUGUGGACUCCUAUCCGAUGGUCAAGAAAAAAUCGAGUCGAUCCGCCAAAAUUAACUCCAAAACUUCGAAGCACCGUUGUCCGAUUUGCGGGAAAAAUAUGUCAUCGCUGCGAUCGUUAAGGCGCCAUACCCAGUCACUCCACGAUGACCACGACACCACUAACAACCACGAGAACAUUGAAUGUGAAUCGAAAACAGACGACGAGCCCGAUGGAAAACUUAUCUCGUGUACAGAAUGCAAUAAGACGUUUUCCAGUCGGGACGAUUACCUGAAGCACAGCAUAAACCACAAAAAGACAUUCGAAUGCGAUGUUUGCCAGAAAGUGUUUCGAACGAGACUACAUCUGAAAGUUCAUUUCCCGACACACAUGGCGGUGAAACCGUAUCUGUGCGAGGUGUGUUCGCGUCCGUUUGCUAGAGCCAAUAAUCUUCGCAGGCACAAACUGACACACGUUACAGAUAAACGGUACAUAUGCGAUGAAUGUGGCAAACGAUUUCCUGCAAACUACUUGCUCAGGCAGCAUAAGGCCAAAUCACAUUCGGAAGUGGCUCGAGUACUUUGCUCCAAGUGUUCGAAGACAUUUACAUCGGUGGCACAUCUGAAAGUUCACAUCAAUGUACAUCACAGCGACGUUAAUCCAUACAGAUGUGAAAUUUGCAAAAUCAAAUUCAGUCAACCAUCGGCGCUGCUAACACAUCGCAAAAAGUUUCACGACCCCAACAGUACCUUUCUUUGCAACAAAUGUCCGCGAAAAUUUCCAUCACAAUUUGAACUGGAAGGUCAUACAAAGGCAGCUCAUCCGCACCGUGCCAAAGAGAAAACGAUCAACAGGUGCGACGACUGCAACAUUACCCUACAUAGUCCAUAUCGCUUAAAACUGCACCGGUUAAAGCUUCACAAUCCAGAGUUCCAACACAAAUGUGCCACUUGCCAACAAACAUUUCCAACCGAGUUUUUGAUGAGCCAGCAUGCGUUACGUACUCACGCUCCCGAACACGAGUACGUGUACAAAUGCUACAUCUGCCCGAAGAAAUACAAUCAGGAGGCUGCGUUAAAGCGACAUGUCAAGCUACAUACCGACCCAAAGAAACCAGUCACCUGUGAAUUAUGCGAAACCAUAUUGGGACGACCGAAUCGUUUAAAGCCGCACAUGAGAGCACUUCACAAUCCAAACAAUCCCUACAAGUGUACCAUUUGUCUUCAGACAUUCCGCGAACAGAAAAUACUGAACAGUCACACCACCCAGGUGCACGAACAAACAAUAUUAUGCGAGUACUGCAACAAAUCGUUUAGCAAACGACAUGGGCUGAGGCGGCAUAUACGACAGUUUCAUCUUGUGCAGGCACCAGAGGAGAAUGAGUAAGAGUUCGGUAAGACGAAGGUUUUGUUAUUUUCACUGGAAUCGAUUGUAUCGUUUGGGUGUGUUAGUUUGGUUAAUUUUAGCGAAGAAAUAUAAUUCAAUGGAAAACUUAAAAGUACUUGUUUCGGAUUGAACUCCGAGUUCCGCUUAAAACUGAGGUCAGGUCAUAUGCUCAGCAUUCUG